UGCAUGAAUAUUCAGGAAAACAAGCGACUUAAUAACCAAAUCUAUCUUCAAAUCGCUCUGGGUUCAAUGAUGAUUUAAUAUGCAAUCUAUUCUCACUCUAAUUUGAUAUAAACCUGGGUUUUCAGAUUGAUGCUGAACCUACACAUCAGACACAUUCAGCAAGUACAAAGCCUUGAUGCUCCAAGCAUCAAGGUCAUUAGUACUAUCUCUUGCAUAAUUGUGCCCCAUCCUGGGAUGUAUUAGGUCUUAAUUCUUACCUUGUGCUUAUCAUUAGAAGAGACAAGCUUCCAUCAUUCUGUUUCCUCCUAAGGAGAAAUAAAAGAUUCAGAAAACCUGGCUUUGAGAUGGAUUUUCCGUGAUGAGAGUUGCUGAGUCGAGCCCGGGAGCUCCAACUCAUCAUGGCUUCUGCAGUUCCACAGAUAGAUAUGUGGACUUGAGAUAAGACAUGAGAACCCUGAGGAGUCAUUUUUUUAAGAAUUGGAACCAUUAUGUAGCAGAUAGAAAUCAACAAAUACGCACCUUUGAGGACAAAACAAGGAGAACCCGGCAGAGCUGCAGUGGAAGGAGAUUCACGAAGUGGCUGGACCCUGAAAUAAGUCACCUGAAGAGACUUACAGCUGCCUCAUCUACAGAUCCAUAGAGUCUGUGUUCCUCCCUAUCUUAAGGCGUUGAUCCCUCCGAAGUUAAGUUCCCCCUUUUGUCAAUUUACCUGUAGUCUUUGAUAAACAUCUUGAGUGUUUUUCUGCAUUUUCCUUUGGAGAGAGAUCAGAGAAUCAACCUCUGACUUCUAACUCUAUUAUUCGACAAAUUUAAGAGGGAAAAGAUAUAAUAGGUAUUUUCUCCACAUCUCUAAACACUGAGCUCUCCUUACACAAGGUCAAAGGUAUCAAGAGUGACACCCUUCCUUGGGAAAGAAACUGACACCACCCCUCUGAGAAUCACCUAAGGGAACACCUAAAACCCAUGGUUUCUCAAUAAUCCAUCUCUUCCCAGUUUUCAUUUUCAAAGCAGAAAUCACUGUUUUAUGAAAGCAGAAAGAUGUUGAAGCCAAAAUAGCGUGUAUAAUGGAGAACAUCAGACCACUCCGUCCCGGAGAGCCUACCUGCACUUCGGGUGCUGACUCUAAUUCUGUUUAUUCUUUAUUCUCCAUAUGGCUACAUGAAAAUCUGCUUAGGAGAUUUGAUUUUAUCUCAUGAUUCAGAGUCAUGGCAUUGGACAAAGUCAUUUCAUUUUGCGACAAAUGAUUUUUGUUGCCUACUAAAUGGCCAUCCCUCCCUGUGCCUUCUGGCCUCCGACAGUGAGAUGUAAGUACGCUAAGACCUCAGCAGAAGUGUCCGUUACCGACAACGAAAAGCUCACGAAAGGCAAUAAACCCUUUGCUGCCCCUGGAUGUUGCUAUCUGCACUGGGGCUGGAAUGAUAGCAGCCAUCUUGGAGCCAUGAAGGAAUUCAGCUAAAAGACAAGCCAAUUUACAGAGAGGACAGGUGGAGUCAAUCUGGGACCUUGAUGGUAUCAUUUAAACACUAAACUCAGCAAGUCUGGAGCCAAGGCACUCAACGUUAAGGUGUUUUGUUAUGUGAGCUAAAAAUGUUCCUUAUUGCUUGGGCUACUUGAAGUUUUCUUUCAAAAGCAUCCUGAUAUUAGUGGCUGCAUUAAAACUUUGAAAACAGAACAAUGUGAACAUUUAUUUCCCUUUAAACUCAAUUGACAAAAAUUCUUAUUUUGAGUUUGAAUGCAAAGUACCUUGCUAUGUGGAGAGUAACCAGCAAAUGCCACCAUGCACAUCUCUGAACUGGCCGUCUGUGUUUUAGAUGAAUCAAGGGAUCAAGUUCAGGCUUCCCCCAGACUCCCAGACCUGCUGUAAGAUAGCCUGUCUUCCUCCUGGCCAACCAGUGGGCUUUUCCUUCUUUAACCCUUCUAUCCUGGACUAACUGAAAAAAAUAUGUAGGUUCAUUUAGAGACCUUAAAAAUCAGCGGUGAAACACCAUUAUUUAUUCAGCCCUGACAGCAAUAGAAUGUUGGGACCACCAGCCUUAACUUGGAGGUUUUCUCCUCUCUCAUUCACCACGCAUAUCACUUCUUUAACAAGUCAAAGCAGAAACAACAAAAGCCCAACUUCUACCAUGACUUGCAUGGCUUGAAAACAAGAUUUAUUGUUCCCAACCGCAAAGGAAAGCCCCACUGUAGAUCUUCGCAUCAGUAAUGGGCAACGGGAGAACGCCACUAAGCCCCCAUCAUUAUUUUUAAGGUUUUAAGAGAAUUAAACUGAGAGUCGACCUCAAGCACAUUCGUACAACAGAACUAAGACAAGCCACAGGUUCUUACUGGUUUUGUAGAAUUUCUUUUUCAGGCAGGGUAAAAGUCCCAUAAUGGCUCUCAGUCUAUUUGGGAAGGGGCAUGAUGGGAGAAAGCCUUGGGUUGAGGACAUGAGAAGAUUCUUUCCUUCCCAAAUAAAGCUGCAUUGAGCAGACUUCUGCAGACCUUUCAGGGUUUCCUGUCCUCAUACUCAUAGAUCUGGGAAACAGUUGGAGUCUAACGAGUAACUGAUUAUGGGAAUCUCCCCCAAGAGAGGGGCGUCCUGUGAUCUCUAGGGGGUGGGGGUGACGUCCUGCCUUAGGGUCAACCAGAGAGCAUCUCCUCCCUCCUGCUAACCUGGUAUGUUUUGUCUACCACUGAUGGGGCUCAGGGAAGUCCAAAUUUAAAUUCACAAUAGCCUAAAUUACAGCAUUCAGGAUAUUUUCUGUUCUUUCAGUUAUUUUUUAUGUCCUCUUCCUUUGUGCCACUCUAAGAGAAAUGUUUUUUUCUCUCUUGUUCACCAUCAUUCUUUAUUCCCCAUAUGGCUACAUGAAAAUCUGCUUAGGAGAUUUGAUUUUAUCUCGUGAUUCAGUGUAACGGCAUUGGAAAAAGUCAUUUCAAUUUGACGAGAACCGUUAAAAAUAAAUACAUCUUUUAAAAGUGAAACUUGAUAUUACCCAACAGAAAAAUGUGUUUCUAUUUCAAAAAAAUAAAUUACUUCUGUGUUGCUUAUUUGUUUGGGGAAUUUUAUUUGGGUGUUUGGAGCUUGUUGUAAG
ensembl:lncRNA